rnacentral:tRNA from 5 species
GUCGGGAUAGCUCAGUUGGUAGAGCAGAGGACUGAAAUUCUC